rnacentral:rRNA from 1 species
AUUGAACGCUGGCGGCAGGCCUAACCCAUGCAAGUCGAGCGAGCGGCGGACGGGUGAGUAAUGUAUGGGGAUCUGCCUGAUGGAGGGGGAUAACUACUGGAAACGGUAGCUAAUACCGCAUACCAUCAUCUGAACCCAUAUGGGAUUAGCUUGUAGGUAAGGUAAAGGCUUACCUAGGCGCCGAUCCCUAGCUGGUCUGAGAGGAGGAUCAGCCACACUGGGACUGAGACACGGCCCAGACUCCUACGGGAGGCAGCAUGGGGGAAUAUUGAACAAUGGGCGAAAGCCUGAUGCAGCCAUGCCGGGUGUAUGAAGAAGGCCUUCGGGUUGUAAAGUACUUUCAGUCGGGAGGCGUUACGACAGAAGAAGCACCGGCUAACUCCGUGCCAGCAGCCGCGGUAAUAC